AGCGAACGCUGGCGGCAUGCUUAACACAUGCAAGUCGCACGGAGGGGGCAACCCCUCAGUGGCGGACGGGUGAGUAACGCGUAGGUAUCUAUCCAUGGGUGGGGGAUAACAGUGGGAAACUGCUGCUAAUACCGCAUGACACCUGAGGGUCAAAGGCGCAAGUCGCCUGUGGAGGAGCCUUCGUCCGAUUAGCUAGUUGGUGGGGUAAAGGCCUACCAAGGCGACGAUCGGUAGCUGGUCUGAGAGGAUGAUCAGCCACACUGGGACUGAGAUACGGGCCAGACUCCUACGGGAGGCAGCAGUGAGGAAUAUUGCGCAAUGGGCGAAAGCCUGACGCAGCGACGCCGCGUGGGGGAUGAAGGUUUUCGGAUUGUAAACCCCUUUCAUGAGGAAAGAUAAAGUGGGUAACCACUUAGACGGUACCUCAAGAAGAAGCCACGGCCAACUUCGUG
rnacentral:rRNA from 1 species